AACGAACGCUGGCGGCGUGGAUAAGACAUGCAAGUCGAACGGGAUUAUUUUUGUAGCAAUACAGAAAUAAUUCAGUGGCGAACGGGUGCGUAACACGUGGGCAAUCUGCCGAAAAGUGGGGGAUAGCUCGCCGAAAGGCGAAUUAAUACCGCAUGUGGUGAGGGACGACAUCUUCCUGAAUCCAAAGCCGGGGUAACCUGGCGCUUUUUGAGGAGCCCGCGGCCUAUCAGCAGUUGGCGGGGUAACGGCCCACCAAGGCUUUGACGGGUAGCUGGUCUGAGAGGACGACCAGUCACACUGGAACUGAGACACGGUCCAGACACCUACGGGUGGCAGCAGUCGAG
rnacentral:rRNA from 1 species